AACGAACGUUAGCGGCGCGCUUAACACAUGCAAGUCGAACGAGAAAGGGCUUCGGCCCCGGUACAGUGGCGCACGGGUGAGUAACACGUGGGUAACCUUCCCUCGAGCGGGGGAUAACGUUCCGAAAGGAACGCUAAUACCGCAUAAGACCACGGGCUCGAAAGAGCCUGGGGUAAAAGUAGGCCUCUGAAUUCACGCUUACACUCGAGGAUGGGCCCGCGGCCCAUCAUGGUAGUUGGGAGGGUAACGGCCUACCAAGCCGAAGACGGGUAGCUGGUCGUAGAGGAGGAUCAGACAAACUGGAACUGAGACACGGUCCAGACUCAGACGAGAGGCAGCUGUGGGGAAUCUUGCGCAAUGGGCGAAAGCCUGACGCAGCGACGGCGCGUGGGUGAUGAAGGCCUUCGGGUUGUAAGGCUCUGUGGGGAGAGACGAAUAAGACGUGGCUAACAUCCACGGCGAUGACGGUAUCUCCUUAGCAGGCACCGGCUAACUCUGUGCCAGCAGCCGCUGUAACAC
rnacentral:rRNA from 1 species